rnacentral:rRNA from 1 species
GACAGAGGUCUCGAGCGUUAGGCGGAAUCACUGGGCUUAAAGCGUGUGUAGGUGGAUGCCUAAGUACCUUGUGAAAUCCCACGGCUUAACCGUGGAACUGCUUGGUAUACUGGGUGUCUUGAGCCAGCUAGGGGCUACCGGAACAAAUGGUGGAGCGGUGAAAUGCGUAGAUACCAUUUGGAACGCCAAUGGUGAAAACAGGUAGCUGGGGCUGUGCUGACACUGAGACACGAAAGCCAGGGGAGCGAACGGG